GUAACGUAAUUUAUGGGUUCCAU
rnacentral:snRNA from 1 species